ACCACCAGUCCCCUAAGCUCUAGCUCUAACACAAGUUGCUCAAGGGUGGACCUUCAUGGCCUUGCUCCUGGUUCCUCCAGCCCAGCCUGGCACAUGGCCUGCCACACCAUGAACACCCGAGAAACUCAUGACUGAGCACUUACCCAAACAUGGCAACGAGCAGGUUGACCAGCAGGAUGUUGGUGGAGAGCAUGUAGAUGCACACCAGGGGGAUGGUGAUCCACUCGGGGAACCGAGGAAGGUUGUGCUCAUCCAGCUCCACACACAGUGGCUUGGACUCAUUCCCAGUGAAGGUGCAGUGGGCAAAGUCGUACGUGGUACCUGAGGAUGUAGAAACCAAAAGGCAAAGACACAGGUAAAGAGCUGAGGUCUUGGAAGAGGGUGCAGCAGAAGAGGCCAGGACAGCCCGAGGCCACAAGGAUAAUGGAGAAAACACCAGGGAGCUGAGAAAUGCGACCAGUAGGGCGGGGGAAGCGUCGGGAUCAUCGUGUCCUGGCAGGACAGAACAUGACAAGCCCAGGCUAUUGUCCGCAUCAUAAAGAUGCUUUCGACAGCUCACUCAAGACACAUGCUGGGCUCCAUGUGCCCUAUACUUUCUGCACGUAAACCAGGCGUGUGCACAUUGAUGUCAUCUGCACCACAUCAUCCUGCCUCUAAAAGAUGCUCAGCAGAGGCAAAGGCCGGAAGUUGAAAUUCCAGGUUCCCGAGCAAAAUUUUCAAUGCUGCUCUUUUGGAAAUAAAUGGGCACCCAGUUAUAUAACAGUACAACUCACAACACCCAUUUCUACACUAGUGAGUUUCUUUGCUGUCAAUUGCCACAUCGCUGUUGAAAACCUAAGAAACGCUAUUUUCAAGAAGUUUCCAAAAUUGCAGACUAACGUUGUUGGGCACACUGGCAAGGCGGACGUGAAAAUCCCGCUCAGACACAAAGACAAGGUUGUGAGGGUCAACUUUCACUCCCUGGUAUUGGCCCAACUCCUGCUGUGGGUCAGAGAAGGGAGCCCUGGGGGCUGGUUCUGGAAGCAACCACCUGCUCCCAGAUGUCCCCGCCCAGGCCCAGUCAGGCUCACCAUCCACAUCGCUGGGCACCUGGCCGAACAUGGCCAGGUAGGGCUCAUAGAUAACUGAGCGGAAUAUCCACCUCCAACGAUGCUCGUUUUGCCUGAGGAUCCCUUGCCUGGCCACACCAAAGGCCACCAUCCACACGGCAAAGAGGAAGAGGAAGAAGAACACAUCGAUCAGCUGUCAAGGGAGGACAAGAGAAUGGAGUCAGGUCUCCAAACCAGCUCAGCAACAGAAACUUUCUGGAAGAGAGACCAGCUUGAGAGCAGAAGAGGGACCCAACCCAGAGUACCUGUCCUCUACUUCUCAUCAUGCUCCCAUUCUUGAAAUCCCUACGUUGUGUC